rnacentral:rRNA from 1 species
UACGGAGGGUGCAAGCGUUAUCCGGAUUCACUGGGUUUAAAGGGAGCGUAGGUGGGCUGGUAAGUCAGUGGUGAAAUCUCCGGGCUUAACUCGGAAACUGCCGUUGAUACUAUCAGUCUUGAAUAUUGUGGAGGUAAGCGGAAUAUGCCAUGUAGCGGUGAAAUGCUUAGAUAUGACAUAGAACAUCGAUUGCGAAGGCAGCUCGCUACACUAUGAUUGACACUGAGGCACGAAAGCGUGGGGAUCAAACAGG